rnacentral:rRNA from 1 species
GACGAACGCUGGCGGCGUGCUUAACACAUGCAAGUCGAACGGAAAGGCCCUGCUUUUGUGGGGUGCCCGAGUGGCGAACGGGUGAGUAACACGUGAGUAACCUGCCCUUGACUUUGGGAUAACUUCAGGAAACUGGGGCUAAUACCGGAUAGGAGCUCCUGCUGCAUGGUGGGGGUUGGACAGUUUCGGCGGUUGGGGAUGGACUCGCGGCUUAUCAGCUUGUUGGUGGGGUAGUGGCUUACCAAGGCUUCGACGGGUAGCCGGCCUGAGAGGGUGACCGGCCACAUUGGGACUGAGAUACGGCCCAGACGCCUACGGGAGGCAGCAGUGGGGAAUAUUGCACAAUGGGCGGAAGCCUGAUGCAGCAACGCCGCGUGCGGGAUGACGGCCUUCGGGUUGUAAACCGCUUUCGCCUGUGACGAAGCGUGAGUGACGGUAAUGGGUAAAGAAGCACCGGCUAACUACGUG